CUGCAGUUUAUUAAGCCGACCAGUUGUGCUACAGUGCGUUUCUGGUGUGCAAAGGCUGCAGACAGUGACUCGUGGGUUGUGUAUGUCCUCAGCUGGGAGGUGCUGAGUGCUUUAAGGGACCCAUGAGACAAAA
rnacentral:snoRNA from 1 species